CAUUGAUAGAGAUUGAGAUAACAUGCAAAAAAAUAAAAGGGGGGUCUCAGUACCAAGAGAAACUUGAAGGAAUAAGAAAAUUGGAAUAUUCUAUACCACACAAAGAGGCACAUGGGAGGGGGAGGGGAAGAAUACUGCUAUAAGAAGUACAGGAAGAGAGUACUCAUAGAUAAUACUCAAACAUUAUUCUCAGUGGAAUCAAUUCAGAGAGGGAAGAGCAUCUAGAUCCAUUGGGGUAUAAAUUGUUUUGAAUCUACAAUUCAUAGCUGCUGACAAGCAAUAUCCUCAAAUGAAGUACUCUUGUAACUCUAGUAAUGAGAAGAGGUCAUGCAUACCAAGCCAGCUGGACAGAUAAUUCUCUGGUUCAGCUUGGGGAAGCAGUAGCCAAAGCAAGUCCUUCUGACUGUUGGUAUAUUAUCUUUCCUCUACUUGCAAUAACGGUAAAGAGGAGAAGUCAGAAGAAAGAAGAGUAA
rnacentral:lncRNA from 1 species